rnacentral:rRNA from 1 species
UACGUAGGAGGCAAGCGUUAUUCGGAUUUAUUGGGCGUAAAGAGGGCGUAGGCGGCUUUCCAAGUCAGAUGUAAAAUCUCCCGGCUCAACCGGGAGGGACCAUUUGAUACUGUUAGGCUAGAGGACAGCAGAGGGAGGUGGAAUUCCCGGUGUAGUGGUGAAAUGCGUAGAUAUCGGGAGGAACACCAGUGGCGAAGGCGACCUCCUGGGCUGUUUCUGACGCUGAGGCCCGAAAGCGUGGGGAGCAAACAGGAUUAGAUACCCCCGUA